UCAAACUUGGUCAUUUAGAGGAAGUAAAAGUCGUAACAAGGUCUCCGUUGGUGAACCAGCGGAGGGAUCAUUACAGAGUCUCGUACUCCCAAACCCAAUGUGAACCGAUACCUAUCGUUGCUUCGGCGGCACCGCCCCGCGGCCCUCGGGCCCGGAACCAGGCGACCGCCGGAGGCCCGCAAACCCUACGUGUAUACCGUCCCACCGGUGGCAUCGUCUGAGUGAAAAAGAAAAAAACGCAUCAAAACUUUCAACAACGGAUCUCUUGGUUCUGGCAUCGAUGAAGAACGCAGC
rnacentral:misc_RNA from 1 species